UGUUACCGUUGUGGAGCGAAAGAU
rnacentral:siRNA from 1 species